rnacentral:rRNA from 1 species
CAUCACCUCUAGCAUACCAAGUAUUAGAGGCACUGCCUGCCCAGUGACUAACGUUAAACGGCCGCGGUAUCCUGACCGUGCAAAGGUAGCAUAAUCAUUUGUUCCUUAAUUAGGGACUGGAAUGAAUGGCUUGACGAGGGUUUAACUGUCUCUUAUUUCCAAUCAGUGAAAUUGACCUCCCCGUGAAGAGGCGGGGAUUAUAUAAUAAGACGAGAAGACCCUAUGGAGCUUUAAUAUACUAGUUUAAUCCUAACAACAACAACCCUAUUGGCCUAACACAUAAAAAUAUAAACUAGUUAUUUUGGUUGGGGUGACCUCGGAGCAUAAAAAAACCUCCGAAUGAUUUUAACCAAGACGUACAAGUCUAAGUAAUUUCAUAUCUUAUUGACCCAAAACUUUUUUGAUCAACGGACCAAGUUACCCUAGGGAUAACAGCGCAAUCCUAUUCAAGAGUCCAUAUCGACAAUUAGGGUUUACGACCUCGAUGUUGGAUCAGGACAUCCCAAUGGUGCAGAAGCUAUUAAUGGUUCGUUUGUUCAACGAUUAAAGUCCUACGUGAUCA